rnacentral:antisense_RNA from 1 species
CGUUAUGGCAGCUGUGUGUGGGAGACCUCCGGGUCUGCCGGUUACCGAGUCGGUCUUGCACACCUAUGCACAGCUGCCACCUCU